rnacentral:tRNA from 1 species
GCGCCAGUGGCUCAGCUGGAUAGAGUACUUGACUACGAAUCAAGGGGUCGGGGGUUCGAAUCCCUCCUGGCGCACCA